rnacentral:rRNA from 1 species
UACGUAGGGUGCGAGCGUUGUCCGGAUUUAUUGGGCGUAAAGAGCUCGUAGGCGGUUCGUCACGUCGGCUGUGAAAACCUGAGGCUCAACCUCAGGCCUGCAGUCGAUACGGGCGGACUUGAGUACUGCAGGGGAGACUGGAAUUCCUGGUGUAGCGGUGAAAUGCGCAGAUAUCAGGAGGAACACCGGUGGCGAAGGCGGGUCUCUGGGCAGUAACUGACGCUGAGGAGCGAAAGCGUGGGGAGCGAACAGG